CCGGCUAGACUCUGGUAUCGGAAUUCCUACCGUCUGGUGGAAUCUCGGAUGUCGGAAGCCUCUAGUAGGGUAGAAACAUGUUUUCAUAAAAUGUUUUAAAGCAUUUCAUGGUUUUAAGUAUGAAAAUUAAAUGAGUUUUUGCAUGAGAAGUCUUUGGAGGAAAACCCAAGUUCGGCCGCCGAAAGUCAAGUUCGGCCGCCGAACAU
rnacentral:lncRNA from 1 species